UAUGGUCAAAAAAAGGAAGAAAUCCGAAAAUUUGCGACGCACCUCCGGACGCGCCGCCUCCUGCACGCACGCGGCGACGCAGGAGGGAAAACUGUCGCUCGCUGGCUGCCGGCGCUCGCGCCCACCAGCGACGAUUCGCCGGCUCGCCGCUCCCCAGCGCCCGCGACGAGCUGCGGGCUGCCGCGCUCCCGCCGCUGCCCGCGACGAGUCGCCGCGCCAGCGCACCCCCGCGACCUCCAGAUCCAACCCCCGCAACAGUUAGAGUUCCGCAACAUCGGACCGACACAUUGAAGAAAUGGCAAAGGCAUUCUACAUUAUAGUGGCUGCAGUCUUGCUAUGCCUCUUCUCUGCUGCAACGGUCUUGCUAUGCCCCUUGUGUGCUGCAACGUCCAUGCCACAUGCAUCUUCUAAAUCAUACAAGGAGUACAUCGUCUACAUCCAGAGGCCACCUCCAGAAGCUGAUAUCAUGGACAACGGCGCGCGCAACAGCUGGUUCCAGUCUUUCCUCCCUAGCAACCUAACUGACUCGGGUAAACCAUGCAUGGUCACCACUUUCGAUACCAUAAUUCACGACUUCGUCGCCUGGUUAACCGAGGCUGAGCUGGAGGUCAUGUCCAAAAAGCCCGGUGUUAGCCGCUGGACCGAGGUUGAAAUGAUGGAAUUGACCCAGGUUGGGAUGAGGAAUACACUGCAGGCAGGGUCGGGCUAUGGGUGGUGAUUGAUAAUUAUAAGUUGACCCGGUUUCUGGCUAGGGUGGAGAGUAAAGGAUUAAACGGGCUGUAGUAUUUCGAUAUCUAGCUUGCCUAUGUCGUCUUAAUGUCAAUUUCACAUAUGAACUGAAUCUGUGUUGAAUUUUUAAAAUCCCCUCUUGAUGUGA